CACGUAGGGUGCGAGCGUUGUCCGGAAUUAUUGGGCGUAAAGAGCUCGUAGGCGGUUUGUUGCGUCGGCUGUGAAAUCCCGAGGCUCAACCUCGGGUCUGCAGUCGAUACGAGCAAACUAGAGUGUUGCAGGGGAGACUGGAAUUCCUGGUGUAGCGGUGAAAUGCGCAGAUAUCGGGAGGAACACCAGUAGCGAAGGCGACACUCUGGGCCGGUACUGACGCUGAGGAGCGAAAGCGUGGGGAGCAAACAGG
rnacentral:rRNA from 1 species